CUAAAAUCUGUGCAGUUGUAAUCAUAGGACGUCUGUGUAAAUAGAUUAAGAGACUUGUCUGAGUCUGAGAGUCAGGCUGGUAUUAUUUUUAGAUUGUGUGUGUGUGUGUGAGAAUGCAAAUAAGGCAGCUGAGAGGUCAAUAGAAUAUGAGGAAGUUAAUAGGGACUGCUAGACAUUGCUGGUGCAUGUACUUAAGACGCUGGUUUUGUUUAUUACAAUAUUGUGUCAAUACAGGUGGGCGUCUUUCAACUUUGCAACCUUGAGUUCAGCAGCAGAAAAGUAGAUUAAAAGAAUUGGGAGAAAAUAAGCCAGUCUUUGGCUCGAAAUUGUGCAGCUUGAGCUCUUACUUUGUCCUUCACCCCGAGAAGACACGCAAAAGACAGUUAAUCACCUGAUGAAGACAGAUAGAACAUCGUGGACUUGAAUACAGCAGGCAAACGACAGGGCCACUGAUCCAUUAACACUGAUGACGACUGACGACCAGCAGCAGCAUGUAAGACUAAUGCAACAUGUACUGUGAAAAUACAGGCUGGGCAGUUGAACAGUGGGAUAAAGAAUUGUGGAAGAGCACUGGACAUUGAGUGAUAUUUUGCCAUGCUGGGACUUAAUCUGAAAGAAAAGACUGUAAAGAAACAGAGAAGAAGACAGCAGCUGAGUUGAGACUGUGUUUGCUGGAGCUUUGAAGCCCGAAUAGGACAUUGUGCAGAGAGGACCAGUGAGAGAUGAAGCUGGACGAGUUUGACUGCGAGAAUAUAGGAUAUAAUUGGAUUGAAAAUUGAAGCCUGAACUCAUGAAUUGUUUAGGGAUGUCCACUACAGCAUAACAAAGAGGUAAACAUUAGAAAAGGUAAGAAUAAUGAAAGAAAUAAUUGUCAUUACCUUAAUGAAUAGAAAACACACAUACAAAUUGUUACAUGUGAGAUAUUUUUGAAAUGAAUCAGAAGUGAGAUAGUUUGAAUCUAAAGCUCAGUGGUGAAAUGCAUAAAUUAAAUAUGAAUAUAUAGGAUGCAAUGAAGAAACAGCUUACACGUAGUGUACAUUAACAUGAAUACAUCGCAAGGCAACGAAGAACUCAAUGAAUUAAUUUAAUGAAGAAGUAGUUUACACCCAAUUAACAUAAAAUGCAGGGAAGAACACGCUUACAUGCAUGGCAUAAUUGGUGUUUCUGACCAGAGACAGAGAAAUGGGUUAUUUAACCACUGGUGAUAAUAAUGAAAAUGUCUUAGUUUUGUUAUUUUCAGGAGUAAAGCAGACUUGGACCGGCUCUCCACAGCAGC
ensembl:lncRNA